AGAAUCAACGCUGGCAGCGCGCUUAACACAUGCAAGUCGAGCGAGAAAGCGGAGCAAUCCGUGAGUAAAGCGGCGUACGGGUGAGUAACACGUGGAUGAUCUACCUUUUAGUGGGGGAUAACCCUGGGAAACCGGGGCUAAUAUCGCAUAAGCCUGAGAAGGGAAGCAGUAAUGCGCUGAAAGAGGAGUCCGCGGCCGAUUAGCUAGUUGGUGAGGUAACGGCUCACCAAGGCGAUGAUCGGUA
rnacentral:rRNA from 1 species